rnacentral:misc_RNA from 1 species
GUAAUUCUAUUUGUAGCUGCCAACAAAGAACAACUGUGGCUAAAGCCAGUAUUAGCUGGACCAAAAACUUGCCCUUCCUUUCCCUUUCUUCUUCAUGUUCAAAGACGUGCAAGGAAUGGCCAUUUCAAGUUUGAACAUUCUGCUCCAUCCACUCUUUGAAAUUUGAACCCUUUUUUUCUUUGAUCAUUAAUUUUUCUUUAUUAUUUCCCUUCGAUUUCCACUCCAGAUUACAAUACUCCCAUAUAAAUUUGCAUAUACAUUUAUUUCUUUCCCUGUCAAGACCAGUAAAAAAAUGAAUAUUUUUAAACAAGAUUGCAAAUACACAGAGAAAUUGACAUCUCCUUCCUUCUUCAAGAUUCAAGAACCCUUGUGUAGGAGUAGCAUAUAAUCAAACCUGUCAUCUGCCCUCUCUACGUGGUAGCCUCUCUCUAAUUAUCGAUUGGUGAAAUAGAGGUCGUUGUUGUAGUUGUAUCAAACUUUUCUAAAACCCACCCCCCUCUUCCUUCUUGUUUAUUUCUUUUCGCGGAUCCGUAUUCUCUACGUGCACUUCUCCUAUACACUAUUUAUACUUCUCUUCACUCAAAACCCACUUCGCCGAAUCAUUUCUAGACCCCCAAUAUGAGCUCUCAAUCGACUAUAUCAUCCUCCGCCGCAGCCGCUGCUGGUGGUGGUGGUGUUCAGAUCAAGCAGUCCCGACGAUUGCCUGAUUUUCUACAGAGUGUGAAUCUUAAAUAUGUGAAGUUGGGGUAUCAUUAUCUUGUGAGUCAUUUAUUGACCCUCUGUUUGAUCCCUUUAAUGGCGGUCAUUAUCGUUGAAGCCUCUCAACUGAACCCGGAGGAUAUUCACCUACUCUGGCUCCAACUUCAAUACAAUCUUGUUAUUGUCAUUGUCUGCUCCGUUUUUGUUGUCUUUGGAUGUACUGUGUAUAUUAUGACUCGACCCAGAUCAGUUUAUCUCGUUGAUUACGCUUGCUAUAAGCCUCCAUCUAAUCUCAAGGUCGAGUUUCAUCGGUUCAUGGAGCAUUCGAAGCUAACUGGCGAUUUUGAUGAUUCCUCGUUGGAAUUUCAGCGCAAGAUUCUGGAGAGAUCAGGCCUCGGCGAAGAGACUUAUGUCCCUGAAGCUAUGCAUUACAUUCCACCAAGGCCAUCAAUGGCAGCAGCAAGGGAAGAGUCAGAGCAGGUGAUGUUUGGUGCGCUGGAUAAUCUCUUUGCCAGUACCAAUAUCAAACCUAAGGAUAUUGGUAUUCUUGUUGUGAAUUGCAGCUUGUUUAAUCCUACUCCAUCCCUUUCCGCCAUGAUUGUUAAUAAGUAUAAAUUGAGGGGCAAUAUCUUGAGCUUCAAUCUUGGGGGUAUGGGGUGUAGUGCUGGGGUCAUAGCUAUUGAUCUUGCUAAAGAUUUGUUGCAAAUUCAUAGGAAUACUUGUGCUGUUGUUGUGAGUACAGAGAAUAUUACACAAAAUUGGUAUUUUGGGAACAAGAAGUCAAUGUUGAUACCAAAUUGUUUGUUUAGAGUUGGUGGUGCUGCAGUUUUGCUCUCAAAUAGAUCCACAGAUAAGAGGCGGGCUAAGUAUAAGCUUGUUCA